CCCACUGCUAUCGGGAUAGGACUAAGACAUGCUAGUCAAGCGCUCUUUAGCUAUGAUAAGAGUGCGGCGUACAGCUCAGUAACACGUGGCUAACCUGCCCUUGGGACAGAGACAACCCCGGGAAACUGGGGCUAAUCCCUGAUAGGUGAAGAACUCUGGAAUGAGUCUCCGCCCAAAAGGCGCUUACAUCAUGCUUGUAGGCGUUGCCCAAGGAUGGGGCCGCGACCGAUCAGGUUGUUGGUUGAGGUAACGGCUCACCAAGCCAUUGACCGGUACGGGCCGUGAGAGCGGGAGCCCGGAGAUGGGCACUGAGACAAGGGCCCAGGCCCUACGGGGCGCAGCAGUCGCGCAAACUUUGCAAUACACGAAAGUGUGACAGGGCUAUCCCGAGUGCCGCCCGCUGAGGGUGGCUUUUACUCAGUAUAACAAGCUGGGAGAAUAAGGAGAGGGCAAGACUGGUGUCAGCCGCCGCGGUAAUACCAGCUCUCCGAGUGGUGUGGACGUUUAUUGGGCCUAAAGCAUCCGUAGCUUGCUGAAGAAGUCCUCUGUUAAACCCAACGAAUUAAUCGUUGGAGUGCGGGGGAUACUGCUCGGCUUGGAGGCGAUAGAGGCAGACGGUAUUUCCGGGGUAGGAGUGAAAUCCUAUAAUCCCGGGAAGACCACCAGUGGCGAAGGCUGUUUGCUAGAACGCGCUCGACGGUGAGGGAUGAAAGCUGGGGUAGCGAACCGGAUUAGAUACCCGGGUAGUCCCAGCUGUAAACGAUGCAGGCUAGGUGUUUGGGCGGCUACGUGCCGCUCUAGUGCCGCAGGGAAGCCGUUAAGCCUGCCGCCUGGGGAGUACGAUCGCAAGGUUGAAACUUAAAGGAAUUGGCGGGGGAGCACCACAAGGGGUGAAGCUUGCGGUUUAAUUGGAUUCAACGCCGGG
rnacentral:rRNA from 1 species